rnacentral:rRNA from 1 species
UACGGAGGGUGCAAGCGUUAUCCGGAUUCACUGGGUUUAAAGGGUGCGUAGGUGGGCAGGUAAGUCAGUGGUGAAAUCUCCGGGCUUAACCCGGAAACUGCCAUUGAUACUAUCUGUCUUGAAUAUCGUGGAGGUGAGCGGAAUAUGUCAAGUAGCGGUGAAAUGCUUAGAUAUGACAUAGAACACCAAUUGCGAAGGCAGCUCACUACGCGAAUAUUGACACUGAGGCACGAAAGCGUGGGGAUCAAACAGG